AUGGGCAAAGGUAAUGUGCAUUCAGGUGCAUUUAGUUUGCAUCUGAGAUCAGUUUGAGACUGUUUAGGGCAGGGGUAGGCA